UUACCCACGGGCAGUAGGCUUCCCGUGUUGCGUGAGUGAGAACCGUGCUAUUCGUGCUCACUGCGGGUUUCCAGGCGCGGGGAAGCUGGCCGCCGUUACCUGGGCCAUGCCACAGAAACAAAUCCACGGCUCAGCCUGCGUGGAAGAGCAAGGAGGAAGGUCGUAGCAGCUACUUCGGUCUCCAGGGAAGGAGAGAGCCAGAAUGAGGGCUUAUCACAUGUGAUUCAAGAAAAUACCUUGUUAGAAGCCUCCACUUUUAAAAAAGUCCACACAGGAGGAGACGCAGAACGGGAUUAAAGAUGUCUGCCAGGUGCUGCGACACACGAAAUAGCAGAUGGGUGAGGCAGCUCUUGUCGUCGUUCCCCAUUUUCCUGAUGAAAGCCUGCAACUAAGAAAUAGAAAAUUCCCCGAGGGCUGUCGGCUAGUUAGGAUUCA